rnacentral:lncRNA from 1 species
UGUGUGUGUGUGUGUAUGUGUGUGUGUUGUGUGUACACUGUGUAUAUGUGUGUGUUUCUCUACUGAGCCUGGGGUCUCCUGAGACCCCAACUUGUUCACCUGUCCAAGGUCUAGGGCAUAGACCCACAGCAUCUCUUCCUCCCUUGAGGAUGCUGGAGCCCAGUCCAAGGACUGGGAGCUAUAUGGGAAGUGGGGGCUGGGAUCUGGGUGGGAAUAUGUGUUUGUGUAGAAAGGGCUCCCCUUGAAAGGGACAGGGUGACUUUCCCUGUGGGACUCAUGAGCCUGCAGUAGUUUAAGAAGUAAGGUUCUUUCUAUAUUCUCCCUCUUUCCCCACCUCCUUUGGUCACAACCAGAGGCCCCUUCCUUGCCAGAGCUUUAAGGGAAAGAGGGGAGUUGACUGCGCCUGCAGGUUGCCUGACCAGGCGGAGAGGGGGAGAAAGGAGGGCACCGUGGGUGUAGGAUGCCUUUCUCCUCCACCCAUCGAAACCAGCCACCCCCUCCCUGUGCUACCAAGUGACCAUUCCGAGGGGAACUCCCAAAAGGGUAUUGGUAGGGGGACAUGGAUAUUCCCCCUUAAAGAGGCCUUGAGUCCUAAGGUAUGCAGGUGGGGGCUUUGAAUAGGUUUUCUUCUGCUCCCCUCUUUUAUAGUUCUAGGUUUUUUGGCUGCCUGC